AAGGAGGCUGUGACCCCAGAACUGAUCCUGGAGGAGAAUCUCUAUCUGUGGCUCAACUACAGUCUUCUGUUGGAGCUACAGGGUGACACAUCUGCUGCGUUGGAAGCCUAUGAAACCAUGCUGGGCUCCAUGGAAACGACCUCUGACCUGACAGAGGUUUGGUGCAGAUAUCUAGCCUUCAGUCAGAGGCUCAUGGUUGCCAAGGAGACGGUUGCUAUGGGAGCCAAGACCUAUGUAAGCCUGUUCAAUCGAGCCCUGACUUCUGUCCCCACAAUGUUUGACACCCCCCACUCCCCGGGAUCCACCUGGCUGAACUAUCGGCCUGUCAACAGGAUCAUUGACCUCUACAUCAGCAGCAGUUCCCAAGGACGACCGAUUGUCUGAGUAUCAGCUGAUUCUGGAGAAGAUGCCACUCAAUGUGGAGUUGCUCCUACGGGUGUGUCAAGAGGUGAUACAGAGGGAGAAUUUCUACCAGGCCAAGAGUCUCUGCACCACCGCAGUCAUAGAGAAGCUGGCCAACCCAGCUCUGUGGAAGAUGGCGAUAUCUUUGAGCUUGAAACUGGAGAAUAUAGCAGAGACUCGAAGACUUUUCCACAAAGCAGUUCAGUUCCAUCCGUACCAUGUGACCUUUUGGAAAGAUUUCCUGCUGUUUGAAGUCACCCAUGGCUCCUGUACAAUGGUACCAAGGAUACAGAAGCGUUGCCAAGAGCUCGGCGUAGAAAUUGAGGAAUUUUCACAAUUUUUAACAAAUUAUUCAAAAGCUUCCUCUUGACAAUAAGGAAGCAUAUGCAAGGAAAUAGUAAUCAUUAUUCAAAUUAUGACAUCAAUGCUCAAAUACAUUUCAAGAAUUACAAUUCGUCGGACAUGGUGAAGCUGAUAUUUCUGAGCAAGUAUCGUAAGUAUAUUAAGCCUUUAACAUGGAAGAGGUCCCCUGCAGGACGGGGGAAAGGCCCCCUUCUUGCCAAGUUUAUAUCAUAUAACUCUGUACACUGUAAAAAAUAUAUAUACGGACCCCAUGUUAAGGGCUUGGGCUUUUCUUUAUUUUCAUGGAAUGUUGUGAGCUAAUAUUUUAUCUUGUGUUUGUCAUACAAUACACUCCCAAGAUGUCCCUUGAGCUUCAUUGUGGAAACUGGCUUUUUGUGGUCGGUCCAUGCGUGAAGACAAAAGCGGGAAGAUUUGAGUGAGUGAAAGAACCCUGAGGAUGAAUGUAUUGGACAUUGAAUCAAAAAAACUGAUCAUGUUGUCUUUCCAACGAAUUGAAAAUUUUGAAUAUUAAUUUGCAUUAAUAUUCAAAGGCAUUAGCAUAUAUACCUCAAGUUUUUGUUUAUUUAAAAAAGUAAUGAUAAAGGAGCUAAAUGGUGAUAAUCAAUUUUGAUCUACUUAAUGGGUUUUUUUAUGCUUUUGGUGUCUGGUAUGGGUAAAGUUUUGGACCAGUGGAAGGGUUAAAUCAGUAUUCUUUGUUUUCAUUGUUUGAUGAAAGUUUCUGAGAGGUAUACAUGCUAUCCCAGUGAAUUUGAUUGUAGUGAUGUUGUGAGUAAAUGUGUUGUUAUUACAUUUUAUGAAUUUUAUAUCACUUCUACAAUCAUUUUUUGAAUGAUUCUUUUAUGAAUUAAAUAAAUAUUCAUUUC
rnacentral:misc_RNA from 1 species